CUCCAUGAAGCUGGAUUCGCUAGUAAUCGCGCAUCAGCCAUGGCGCGGUGAAUACGUUCCCGGGCCUUGUACACACCGCCCGUCAAGCCAUGGGAGCCGGGGUGCUUGAAGUGCGUCGCCGCAAGGCGCGCCCUAGAGCAAAACCGGUGACUGGGGCUAAGUCGUAACAAGGUAGC
rnacentral:rRNA from 1 species